rnacentral:lncRNA from 1 species
AUGGAAUCUCUUCAGCAGGGCAGUAAACUACAGACUGUGUGUAUGGAAUCUCUUCAGCAGGGCAGUAAACUACAGACUGUGUGUAUGGAAUCUCUUCAGCAGGCCAGUAAACUACAGACUGUGUGUAUGGUAUCUCUUCAGCAGGGCAGUAAACUACAGACUGUGUGUAUGGAAUCUCUUCAGCAGGCCAGUAAACUACAGACUGUGUGUAUGGAAUCUCUUCAGCGGGGCAGUAAACUACAGACUGUGUGUAUGGAAUCUCUUCAGCGGGGCAGUAAACUACAGACUGUGUGUAUGGAAUCUCUUCAGCAGGGCAGUAAACUACAGACUGUGUAUUUGUGUAUGGAAUCUCUUCAGAAUGGCAGUAAACCACAGACUGUGUGUAUGGAAUCUCUUCAGCAGGGCAGUAAACUACAGACUGUGUGUAUGGAAUCUCUUCAGCAGGGCAGUAAACUACAGGCUGUGUGUAUGGAAUCUCUUCAGCAGGCCAGUAAACUACAGACUGUGUGUAUGGAAUCUCUUCAGCAGGGCAGUAAACUACAGACUGUGUGUAUGGAAUCUCUUCAGCAGGGCAGUAAACUACAGACUGUGUGUAUGGAAUCUCUUCAGCGGGGCAGUAAACUACAGACUGUGUGUAUGGAAUCUCUUCAGCAGGCCAGUAAACUACAGACUGUGUGUAUGGAAUCUCUUCAGCAGGGCAGUAAACUACAGACUGUGUGUAUGGAAUCUCUUCAGCAGGGCAGUAAACUACAGACUGUGUGUAUGGAAUCUCUUCAGCAGGCCAGUAAACUACAGACUGUGUAUGUGUGUAUGGAAUCUCUUCAGAAUGGCAGUAAACCACAGACUGUGUGUAUGGAAUCUCUUCAGCAGGGCAGUAAACUACAGACUGUGUGUAUGGAAUCUCUUCAGCAGGCCAGUAAACUACAGACUGUGUGUAUGGAAUCUCUUCAGCAGGGCAGUAAACUACAGACUGUGUGUAUGGAAUCUCUUCAGCAGGGCAGUAAACUACAGACUGUGUGUAUGGAAUCUCUUCAGCGGGGCAGUAAACUACAGACUGUGUGUAUGGAAUCUCUUCAGCAGGCCAGUAAACUACAGACUGUGUGUAUGGAAUCUCUUCAGCAGGGCAGUAAACUACAGACUGUGUGUAUGGAAUCUCUUCAGCAGGGCAGUAAACUACAGACUGUGUGUAUGUGUAUUGAAUCUUGUGUCCUUUUGUUUUCCUUUCUUGAAAUCAGGAAUAAAAUAGGGAGAAAGAUGAUAUUUCCGGAGAUUGUAACAUUCAACAAGGCUGUCCGAGGCAUAUUGAUCCUUGGAAUCGAUGGGGAAACUGGACCUGGUUAA